UUCUUAACUUAUUUGUUUUGUUUUCUUUGUAUGUAUGGAUUACUUGGGUUGUUAUCAACAUCUGGUGACAAUUUCAUGUCAACAGUAUCUUUAGAAAUACAUUUAGUGAGAAAAAUGGACACAAAACUACA